rnacentral:rRNA from 1 species
AUACGGAGGAUCCGAGCGUUAUCCGGAUUUAUUGGGUUUAAAGGGUGCGCAGGCGGCCAUUUAAGUCAGCGGUUAAAUCGUGGGGCUCAACCCCAUUCUGCCGUUGAUACUGGGUGGCUUGAUUGCGGUCGAGGUUGGCGGAAUUCGUUGUGUAGCGGUGAAAUGCAUAGAUAUGACGAAGAACACCGAUUGCGUAGGCAGCUGACCAGACCGCAAAUGACGCUCAUGCACGAAAGUGCGGGGAUCGAACAGGAUUAGAUACCCUGGUAGUCCGCACAGUAAACGAUGAAUACUUGUUUUCGGCGAUAUAAUGUCGGAGGCAAAGCGAAAGCGAUAAGUAUUCCACCUGAGGAGUACGCCGGCAACGGUGAAACUCAAAUGAAUUGACGGGG